GAGCCCAUGUGGGGAAAGAAAGCCAUGCCAGGGGGGCAGGGUUGAAGCAACUUUGAAAAGGUCUGAGGAAGAGCUACACUGGUUGAUUAUUGCAGGAAUGAAAGGCACUCUGACCUUGUCGACCGAAUGCCUUGCUGCUUUCAAUGUUGCCCAUUAUGCUGAAGGCAGGCAACUCCUGGAGAGAGACUGGAAUCUGUAGGAGAGCUGCUAUCUGGGCAACCUGCCAGCAAAGGCUUCAUCAUCUGCAAUGCAGCCAAGAUGAAUACUCAGGCUAAGCUUCAGCUUUAACCUGAGAGCAAAUCUGAGGACUGUGAAGAAUUUCUUGGUGAAUACCAGCAAUGAAAAGUGCCUCCCAGCCCUCCAAAUGAAGGAUUAAUGAAGGAUUAAGACACUGAUUUCAUGUGGAGAGUUAGCCUCUUUCAAAUUCCCAUCAGCAUGCCCUUGGUUUUCCAUCUCGUUCAAAUUGGACAUGGACAAAGAUCUAUCACCAUCAACAAAAUGUAGACAUAUUAAUGCAUAAACACAUACCAAUAUUUGUCACUUUCUUCGACAGUGCAGACACCAAGAGAACACAUGGUCUAGUCUAUUUUGCCACUCUAACAGACAAGAACUUUGUAAUAUUGCCCUCAUUCCUUCAAAAGAUAUACUUGUAUUUUUGGAGGUCAAAUAUGUCUUUCUGAAAACAGGUACAUAAGGAAUACCUAGCAAACAAGAACAAUGAAUAGCAGAAGAGCUACUAAUGUAAUUUCUGUUUAAUGAGUUCCAUUUGGAUAUUUUCAUUAAAUGUCAUGAGUUUCCAACAUGGGUGUGAUUUGCAGGAGUGUGCUCUUGCUGGUGAGAAGCAGGUUUCAGUUGCUGAGUCAUAAGCCCUCUUCUCAUACUUCUGUCCACACAUUUAAUCAAUGAGUGAAUUAGAAUUGUGGCUACUGGCAUUGUCCCAACCUGCAUAUAUCCAGCUCUUUGACUUCCAUAGGGUCAGAGGCUCUGCUCUCUGCAUGUUAGAUAGAAUGUGAGAGUGGGCCUUACACAUGUACUUAUGUAUUCUAAUCCCGCCCCCACACCCACUUAUGCAUACAGCAGUACAUGUGGAAGGCCCAUUCUAAUCUUA